rnacentral:rRNA from 1 species
GAUGAACGCUAGCUACAGGCUUAACACAUGCAAGCCGAGGGGAAACGACAUCGAAAGCUUGCUUUUGAUGGGCGUCGACCGGCGCACGGGUGAGUAACGCGUAUCCAACCUGCCCACCACCUGGGGAUAACCUUGCGAAAGUAAGACUAAUACCCAAUGACGUCUCUAGAAGACAUCUGAAAGAGAUUAAAGAUUUAUCGGUGAUGGAUGGGGAUGCGUCUGAUUAGCUUGUUGGCGGGGUAACGGCCCACCAAGGCGACGAUCAGUAGGGGUUCUGAGAGGAAGGUCCCCCACAUUGGAACUGAGACACGGUCCAAACUCCUACGGGAGGCAGCAGUGAGGAAUAUUGGUCAAUGGGCGAGAGCCUGAACCAGCCAAGUAGCGUGCAGGAUGACGGCCCUAUGGGUUGUAAACUGCUUUUAUAAGGGAAUAAAGUGAGUCUCGUGAGACUUUUUGCAUGUACCUUAUGAAUAAGGACCGGCUAAUUCCGUGCCAGCCGCCGCGGUAA